rnacentral:misc_RNA from 1 species
GAUGAAGAACGUAGCGAAAUGCGAUAAGUAAUGUGAAUUGCAGAAUUCAGUGAAUCAUCGAAUCUUUGAACGCACAUUGCGCCCGUCAGUAUUGUGGCGGGCAUGCCUGUUCGAGCGUCAUUACGCCCCUCAAGUCCCCUGUGGACUUGGUGUUGGGGAUCGGCGAGGCUGGUUUUCCAGCACAGCCGUCCCUUAAAUUAAUUGGCGGUCUCGCCGUGGCCCUCCUCUGCGCAGUAGUAAAACACUCGCAACAGGAGCCCGGCGCGGUCCACUGCCGUAAAACCCCCCAACUUUUUAUAGUUGACCUCGAAUCAGGUAGGACUACCCGCUGAACUUAAGCAUAUCAAUAAGCGGAGGA